GACGAACGCUGGCGGCGUGCUUAACACAUGCAAGUCGAACGGAAAGGCCCUGCUUUUGUGGGGUGCUCGAGUGGCGAACGGGUGAGUAACACGUGAGUAACCUGCCCUUGACUUUGGGAUAACUUCAGGAAACUGGGGCUAAUACCGGAUAGGAGCUCCUGCUGCAUGGUGGGGGUUGGAAAGUUUCGGCGGUUGGGGAUGGACUCGCGGCUUGUCAGCUUGCUGGUGGGGUAGUGGCUUACCAAGGCUUGGACGGGUAGCCGGGCUGAGAGGGUGACCGGCCACACUGGGACGGAGAUACGGCCCGGACUCCACCGGGAGGCAGCGGUGGGGAAUAUUGCACAAGGGGCGGGAGCCUGGUGCGGCAACGCCGCGUGGGGGAUGACGGCCUGCGGGUUGUAUACCGCUGUCGCCUGUGACGAGGCGUGAGUGACGGUAAUGGGUGAAGAAGCACCGGCUAACUACGUG
rnacentral:rRNA from 1 species